rnacentral:rRNA from 1 species
GACGAGGGCGCAAGGCGUUGUUCGGAUUCAUUGGGCGUAAAGGGUGCGUAGGCGGCGCGGUAAGUCGGGUGUGAAAUCUUGGAGCUUAACUCCGAAACUGCAUUCGAUACUGCCGUGCUUGAGGACUGGAGAGGAGACUGGAAUUUACGGUGUAGCGGUGAAAUGCGUAGAUAUCGUAAGGAAGACCAGUGGCGAAGGCGGGUCUCUGGACAGUUCCUGACGCUGAGGCACGAAGGUCAGGGGAGCAAACGGG